UACGUACCACACGAACGUUAUUCGGAAUCACUGGGCUUAAAGGGUGCGCAGGCUGUGCAGAAAGUCGGGUGUGAAAUCCCUCGGCUCAACCGAGGAACUGCGCCCGAAACUACUGUGCUCGAGGGAGAUAGAGGUGAGCGGAACUUAGGGUGGAGCGGUGAAAUGCGUUGAUAUCCUAACGGAACACCGGUGGCGAAAGCGGCUCACUGGAUCUCUUCUGACGCUCAUGCACGAAAGCCAGGGGAGCGAA
rnacentral:rRNA from 1 species